rnacentral:tRNA from 2 species
AUAUUUUAAAAUAAUCUAAUUUCAUAAUAUCUUCAAUAUCAUACUUUAAAUAAGCUAUUAAAAUA